rfam:Rattus norvegicus chromosome 12, whole genome shotgun sequence.
GGGGAUUUAGCUCAGUGGUAGAGCGCUUGCCUAGCAAGCAGAAGGACCUGGGUUCGGUCCCCAGCUCCG